UCAUUUGGGCGGGGGUCAAGAGCAAUAACGAAAAAUGUUUGUCAUAAACCGUUUUUCAUUAUUGCUCCUGACCGCCUCUCAUUUAUUGGACUCC
rnacentral:pre_miRNA from 10 species